GAUGAACGCUGGCGGCGUGCCUAAUACAUGCAAGUCGAGCGAACGGACGAGAAGCUUGCUUCUCUGAUGUUAGCGGCGGACGGGUGAGUAACACGUGGAUAACCUACCUAUAAGACUGGGAUAACUUCGGGAAACCGGAGCUAAUACCGGAUAAUAUUUUGAACCGCAUGGUUCAAAAGUGAAAGACGGUCUUGCUGUCACUUAUAGAUGGAUCCGCGCUGCAUUAGCUAGUUGGUAAGGUAACGGCUUACCAAGGCAACGAUGCAUAGCCGACCUGUGAGGGGGAUCGGCCGCACUGGAGCUGAGACACGGUCAUGACUCCUACGGGAGGCAGCAGUAGGGAAUCUUCCGCAAUGGGCGAAAGCCUGACGGAGCAACGCGGCGUGAGUGAUGAAGGUCUUCGGAUCGUAAAACUCUGUUAUUAGGGAAGAACAUAUGUGUAAGUAACUGUGCACAUCUUGACGGUACCUAAUCAGAAAGCCACGGCUAACUACGUG
rnacentral:rRNA from 1 species